rnacentral:rRNA from 1 species
CAGUCGCCACGGGAACACGAAGGGUGCAAGCGUUACUCGGAAUUACUGGGCGUAAAGCGUGCGUAGGUGGUGGUUUAAGUCCGUUGUGAAAGCCCUGGGCUCAACCUGGGAAUUGCAGUGGAUACUGGGUCACUAGAGUGUGGUAGAGGAUAGUGGAAUUUCCGGUGUAGCAGUGAAAUGCGUAGAGAUCGGAAGGAACAUCUGUGGCGAAGGCGACUAUCUGGGCCAACACUGACACUGAGGCACGAAAGCGUGGGGAGCAAACAGGAUUAGAUACCCCAGUAGUCCCUGUCUCUUAUAC